rnacentral:rRNA from 1 species
UGGGGAAUCUUCCGCAAUGGACGAAAGUCUGACGGAGCAACGCCGCGUGAGUGAUGACGGCCUUCGGGUUGUAAAGCUCUGUUAAUCGGGACGAAAGGCCUUCUUGCGAAUAGUGAGAAGGAUUGACGGUACCGGAAUAGAAAGCCACGGCUAACUACGUGCCAGCAGCCGCGGUAAUACGUAGGUGGCAAGCGUUGUCCGGAAUUAUUGGGCGUAAAGCGCGCGCAGGCGGAUAGGUCAGUCUGUCUUAAAAGUUCGGGGCUUAACCCCGUGAUGGGAUGGAAACUGCCAAUCUAGAGUAUCGGAGAGGAAAGUGGAAUUCCUAGUGUAGCGGUGAAAUGCGUAGAUAUUAGGAAGAACACCAGUGGCGAAGGCGACUUUCUGGACGAAAACUGACGCUGAGGCGCGAAAGCCAGGGAAGCGAACGGGAUUAGAUACCCCGGUAGUCCUGGCCGUAAACGAUGGGUACUAGGUGUAGGAGGUAUCGACCCCUUCUGUGCCGGAGUUAACGCAAUAAGUACCCCGCCUGGGGAGUACGACCGCAAGGUUG